AUUUAUAUAAUUUAAUUAAAAUAUUACAUUUUCAUUGUAAAGUUGGAAUUUCCUUCCUAUAAAUA
rnacentral:tRNA from 1 species